GGAUACAGAAAGAGACACAACGAUAAGGAAAAGCCAGUGGUCAUGGAUGCCAGAAAACAGGGAAGUCAAUAUCAAUGCCAAAGUCAAAUAACCAGAAAAAACAGAAUCAAUAACGCGCUCUCGGACAACCACAAGGGAAACCACGUCAGGGCACAGAGCAAGAGGAGAACUGGGCCUGUGGAUCUGAUUGGUUGUAACCGGCCUUUGACCCCAAAGGCAGUUACCAGGUUCCUAUUUGCAUGACUGCUGCUCAGCACAAACCCUCCUAUGGAUUGAUUGCUGCUCAGCACAAACCCUCCUGUGGAUUGAUUGCUGCUGGGCACACCUUUUCCUGUCAGGACAAUAAAUGCCAUUAAUCACAUUUUUAUGUGCAGAUGAAUACGUGACACAUGGCUCCCCAG